AAAUUAGUAUUAAAUUUAUUGGGUGUUUUAUUGGUUUAUGUGCCUUUUGCCUCAUGCUAAUUCUACUUUAUGGGUAAUACCUUAAACCGAAACUCCCGGAUCUCCCUUUAAACAGUUGAGAACAAGUGUUGGGUAAAUUUUUAGAUUUAUAGGGUGUUGUGAUAAAUUAGUCGACGGGAGGUAUAUCUGUUACGGGUGGUAGUUUUCUUAAAACAAGUGGGGUGAUGAGAUCCUUUUUGUGCUUAUAUGGAGGGUUUUGGCUACUUUUACUAAGGUUAAGGUUACCUUUGUUUAAUGAUAAUGUUAAAAUAUCGGGUUUGUAUAGUUGUAAUUAAGUGUAGACCACUCGUAUACUAAUUGUUUGAGAUUAUUUAUGAGUUAAUUAGUAAUUAUAUUAAUUCAAAUCAAUCUCGGGCCUAGCCCAACUGUUUAUUAAAAACAUUUCUGCUUGAGACCUAAGCAGUAUGACCUGCCCGGUGUAAUAUUAACGGCCGCAGUAUUAUGACUGUGCGAAGGUAGCAUAAUUAAUUGCCCUAUAAUUGGGGGCUUGUUUGAAAGGUUUAAUGGGGUUAGAGCCAAGAUUUGAGUUAUAUGUGAAUUUAAUGUCGUGGGUAAAGAAUCCACGAAGGUUAGUUAGACGGAAAGACCCCAGGAUCUUUCGUUUUGUCUGGGGCAGAUUAAACUUUUUUAGUUUAUUUGUGACCCUUAGAUUGGAGAGUUAAGUUACCCUGGGGAUAACAGAGUAAUAGUUUAUAAGAGAUCUUAUCGAUUAAACUGAUUGCUACCUCGAUGUUGACUUGGGUGAGUUUAUGGGCGUAGUCGUUUCUAAACAUGGUCUGUUCGACCAAUAUACCCUCAUGAGUUGAGUUAAGACCGGCGUAAGCCAGGUCGGUUCUUAUCUGCUGGUGUAGUGGGUUAGUACGAAAGGACCCCCCACUGUUUUAUU
rnacentral:rRNA from 1 species